CCCGACUGCUAUUUGGGUGAGGAUAAGCCAUGCGAGUUGGAUGGGAUACCUAAACUUCCCAUAGCAAACUGCUUAGUAACACAUGAUCAACUUGCCCUAUGGAGAAAAAUAACCUCGGGAAACUGAGGAUAAUGUUUCAUAGUUGAAUAGGCUUGGAAAAGUUUUUCAAUGAAAGGAAUAAGAUAAAUGGUUCUUAUUUGCCAUAGGAUAGGAUCGUGGUCGAUUAUGGUAGUUGGUGAGAUAACGGCUCACCAAGCCGAUAAUCGAUAGGGGCCGUGAGAGCGGGAGCCCCAAGAUGGGUACUGAGACAGCGACCCAGGCCUUACGAGGCGCAGCAGGCGCGAGACCUCCGCAAUACACGAAAGUGUGACGGGGUUACCCAAAGUGUUCUCUUAAGAACUGUGGCAGGUGAGUAAUGUCCCCUGCUAGAAAGGAGAGGGCAAGGCUGGUGCCAGCCGCCGCGGUAAAACCAGCUCUUCAAGUGGUCGGGAUAAUUAUUGGGCUUAAAGUGUCCGUAGCCGGUUUAGUAAGUUCCUGGUAAAAUCGGGUAGCUUAACUAUCUGCAUGCUAGGAAUACUGCUAUACUAGAGGGCGGGAGAGGUCUGAGGUACUACAGGGGUAGGGGUGAAAUCUUAUAAUCCUUGUAGGACCACCAGUGGCGAAGGCGUCAGACUGGAACGCGCCUGACGGUGAGGGACGAAAGCCAGGGGAGCGAACCGGAUUAGAUACGUCGGUGCUAGAAUAAUAAAAUAACUAACACCAUGCUAAAAACCCGGGUAGUCCUGGGCCGUAAACGAUGCAUACUAGGUGAUGGUACGGCCAUGAGCCGUAUCAGUGCCGUAGGGAAACCGUUAAGUGUGCCGCCUGGGAAGUACGGUCGCAGGGCUAA
rnacentral:rRNA from 1 species